rnacentral:lncRNA from 1 species
UGUUAGGGCACCGAAAUUGGGGCUUUUGCCUCCGGGUGUUUCUAAGGCAAAUUGGCCUUGUAGAAACCUAAUUGGGGACCUAACGAACGCGUUGGUGCGCUCGGUUCGGCAAUCCGACGAGCGUACGCGAAGUUAUUGAUGAAACGGUCGGUUUUGGUACAGAUAGCCGCAGCACGCGGAAUAAAGGUCUAAAAAUCAUGAGAUCGGAACUGGAGCACCUUGGAGUCAAGGAAUAAACUCCGGAAAAGACGGAUCGCGGUUCGGAGGUCGUUUGGAAGUCGCGCAAGAGUUCGGGCCAAACCGGGCAACGGUUGCCGCGGGAGGCCGAUUGCAAGUGACUACAAGCAAUCGGAACGCGUGUUAAGGUGGGUUGGUUUACCGAAGCGACUAGGUUGCCUUUAUGUCUAAGAAACUAAGAAUCCAUGUUGAUGCAUAUAAAUGUAAAUGAAGCAUGUAGCUAAAUAAUGCAUGUUGAUAGUGUGAUGUAAAUGCUAAAUAGAAUGCAUUAUGAGCAUGUUGAAUAAAGCUAAAUAAUUAUGUGAAUGCAUGUGAGCAUAAUGCAUAGAAUGAAAUGCAUAUUGAUGACAUAAGUUAAAAUGAGAUAUAGAAUGCAUGAUGAACAAGUUAUAUAAUGCUACAUAAUUACAUGAAAGCAUGU